rfam:Operophtera brumata OBRT01_Sc00037, whole genome shotgun sequence.
UGUUCUAUGGCCGAACUGGUAAAGGCAUUGCCGAUCACAGACAAGGUUGCGGGUUCGAGUCCCGCUGGAACGG